UGCUGAGCCUUUGUAAGAAAAGGGAAAUGCAACGUGGGAGGAGUGAGGGGGAGGUUAUGGCUCUGCUGUUGUUAGAGACGCGGCUAAUGGCCCAGAGAUUUGAUAAAUAAUUCUGUUUCAUUUAAGCCUCGGGAGCUUCUAAUCGAAUUGCAUCACCUGUGGUUCGGCUGCUUUCUUUCAGGCCAGCAAGGAAGAGGACAAAAGCCCGACAGAAAACCCCGACCUUCACUACAACCGAGCGUGAAUGGAGGCUUUCCACGUCUGAGCGAGCCUUGUUAAAGGAAAGUGUGUUCCUUCUAAUAGCUCUUUCCCCAGAGAGCUGAGGACACGGACUGCUCCAGCAGAUGUGCCGGCGGAGGCAGAUGGGGAGGCUGACGAGGUUAUCGUGGGCAAAAAGAUUGGGCAGGGGAAGGCUAUGAAAUUUGGAGGGUUGAGUGCACAUUCAUACAACAUUGCCAACUUCAAUUUCUUGACACUGUUUUUAUGGAGACAUUCAAUUAAAAUCCCAUUCAUUCCGACAAGGCAGGAACCUAUAUUAUGCAACUGAUAAAGAGAAGAAAGUGCAUUAGAAAGAAAAAAAAAGCAUUCAGAGAUAUUACAAGACUAAGUAUGCUGAAGUUACUGAAAAUCUAACUCACACGGAUUAGAUGCUACAAUAUUCAGCCUGAUUGGUUCCUCUUUGGUUCCUUGACAUCCCCUGGAUGCCGCAGCUCUGAGCUCCUACUAGGGAACUGCAUGCAAUGCCCGGAGCGGGUUUGGUGCCUUAGUGUGCCACCAGCAAAGCCAACGGGCAGGCAGCCCCCUGGCCUAGCUAAGAGCCAGCAUAAAAAAAAAAAAAAAAGCUGCAGGACUUAAAUCCUGCACUUUCCCCAGAAUUAGGAGUCUUCCAGGGCAUGUUUUCAUUCACUCAGGCUUGGUAAGCUUGAGUUAAGCAACAGCUGAACAACAGUUUUGAAUACCCGCGUUCUCAAUUUAGCUAUUUGAAGCAGGCAUUUUGGUGAUUCUGCUGUGGAUUUAGCCAUUUGUAAAAACAUCAUGCCCUUUGCAUAAGGAAGCUCUGCAUCAGAUUUUUUUUCAAGUGUUUGAGCCCACAGUGGAUGCAGGUUAUUGGAGGUUCUCCAGGAUGGACUGUAAUAAACACUAACCAUUUAUUUUGGUGGCUGUAUACAUGCUCUUUAAAAAAAAUCCAGCCCUAGUUAUACCAGCUGAAGUUCUCUGAGAAUAAUCUGCUCAUAAAUAUCCCCUCGGAGGAGGUCGAAUAUGCCAGCCGUAUGUGGCCUUCAAUUUGAAGCUAAAUUUACUUUCCCUUCUUGCAUGUCAGACUAUUUGAAUUACUGAAAAAAUCAAAGAGCUGGAUGAUUAGUGUAGCAUACAUGCCCAUAUUUUGGUUGUAGUCAGCUAGUUUCAUAAAGAAAGCCACUCUUUCUAAAGGAAAAUAAUUCCUGGUUUAUUUAAUGAAUACAAACACUUUAUUUCCAAAAGCAUGAGAUUGUGCGAACAUGAUCAUUAUAAUCCAAUUCCAGAAGAACUAAGACAAAGAUCAAUCCGCUGAUCAUUCAUUAAGUACCUUAUGUGUAAAGUUGACUGUUCUGGUUUGCUAGCACCCUACAUUUUCAAAUUAAUAAGCCCUUUUUUCCAGAAUCUCAGAUUGAAUGAUGAAGCACUGAUCAUACUUGUGGCUUAUCAAACAGGGAAUCUUCUGACCGUUUUAUGUCUAAAUAAAGUUAAGUGAAAUAGUCAUCUACAAUUAUUUAAUGUGCAUGAAAUUAACAGUUAUUGGCUACAGAUUAUGAAAGAAAUAAGGUGUGCUGGAAA